rnacentral:lncRNA from 1 species
AUUUGUCUCUUUGCAUUGCAAUUUAAAAACGUUUUAUCUUUAAACUUAAUUUUACACUAACUGCAGAAAAUGUCAUAUUUAAAUUUGUUAUUAAUGGUUCAUAAUUACUGCACAAAUAUUUUUAUACCAGAAAUCCCCUCAAAAUAUUACAUAUUAAAAUAUUAAAUAAUAUCACUCCCAGAACCAAAGAACUAUUGAGAGCCCGCAUAACGGCCAGAUCAAUGUCGCAGCUGCGUUUUUCAACGGCUCUGAUUAGGCCUGUAUCCCUAACAUUAGUUCAUUUCAACUACUUCCGCACUCUAACCAAUACAAAACCUCAAUAAAACAGCAGCAGAUUUUCGUACAGUCUUACGAAGACUGUAGUUUAGAAAGUUAUCGAUUUGAGGUUACAGAAGUCGUACGAAUUAGCCACCUCGUAAAAUACAUAAGAAUUGGUCGUGAAAUAGCAUUAGUAUUGAUGAUUUAGGUUUUGACCUUACUAACAAUUCUUAGUUCCCAGAACGUUCUGGGAACGUUAGUUUUUGGUUCCCAAAACGUUCUGGGAACGUUAGUUUUUGGUUCCCAAAACGUUAUUUUUAAGGUUAGUUUUUGGUUAGCCAGGAAAGUUUUCUUUACGGAAAUAGAACGUUAGUUUCUGGUUUGUAGAACGUUAGGGGAACGUUAGACUAACGUUAGGGGAACGUUAGACUAACGUUAGGGGAACCUAACCCAAUUCACCACGUUUAUUAAUUCUUACCUUUUUCUCCAUUGGUACAUAGUUACAGAUAAAACAGUAAAUUUAUAUAAAUAAAUCAGUCCACAAUCCAUGUUCAUAUCCAUAGUUUUAUUGUCAAAUUCCAAUACAUUUAAUUAUCAAUAUAUAUAUAUAUAUAUAUAAUAAAAACAACACACAAAAGACAAGCAUGUAGCAUGAACAAAUAAAUUAACUAAAUUACCUAUAACUAUAAAAUUACUACUAGCUCUUCUUCUGCCUCAGUCAUACUGUAAAAGUAACAAAGAAAUAAAUAGUAGCUUAAGGAGCAUGAAAUUCAGAUUAAAUUACAUGAGCAGUUAAAUAAAAUACUCUACUUCAUAAAUUAAUACAUAUACAU